rnacentral:tRNA from 2 species
GCGGGAGUAGCUCAGUGGUAGAGCGUCACCUUGCCAAGGUGAAUGUCGUGGGUUCAAAUCCCAUCUCCCGCUCCA